CAGCAUCAUAAAUCCCCUGCAUGUUAAUGGGUUGAUGUGCAAUGAGAUAGAUGAACAGCAAUGCUGAACAGUGCAUGAUACAGCCAGCACAGUUAAAUGACACAAAGAAAUAAAUAACACUAUUUAUUUAGCUUCUAUUUCUACUCAGGGAAGAUUCAAAGUGAGCAAUCAAACCCUGGUUGGAUGUGUCAUUUAGCCCUUUGAGUGUGGUGUAUGUGAUAAUGCGUAGCAUAGCUCAGGGCAGACAUUGUAGGCAUCAGCUCUAGCCAAAGGCCAGGUUUAAUGAAGUGGACUGAAAUAUGUUCCCACCUGAAUGGUGCUUUGGCUGUGCAGUUCACAUGCACAGUUUGUCCACAUGCACCUAUUCAUCCCCCAGCGAUUGUAGCCCAGCUUCUUUUAGGUUUUAGAUUUUAGAUAUGUUAAGUUUAAGUCUACCUUCCUUUUUUUACGUGAACUUGCCUCACUGUUUAAAUAAUGUCUGCCUCUGACUCAUCAAUUGUUUACUUAUAUUCCUCAGGGCCCGAAAGGACCAAGAGGUGAAAGGGGACCCCAGGGCCCUGACGGGAGGGACGGCAGACCUGGCAACCCCGGCCCUGCUGGGCCCCCAGGACCCCCUGGCCUCGGCGGAAACUUUGCUGCUCAGUAUGAUCACAACAAAGGCGCUGAUAUUGGUCCCGGCCCCAUGGUGAACACACACACACACACACACACACACACACACACACACACACACACACACACACACACACACACACACACACACACACACACACACACACACACACACACACACACACACACACACAAACUCAGACACACACACACACACACACACACACACACACACACACACACACACACACACACACAUGCACAAACUCUGAGACACACACACCUGCAGUUUUGUGGUAACUCUCCAACAAUAACACUAUGUAUUCACACAUACACAUCACCACACAGAACUACCAAUAAGAACCCAUCGAAGUCUGAAGACCUUUCCA